GACGAACGCUGGCGGCGUGCCUAAUACAUGCAAGUAGAACGCACAGUUUAUACCGUAGCUUGCUACACCAUAGACUGUGAGUUGCGAACGGGUGAGUAACGCGUAGGUAACCUGCCUGGUAGCGGGGGAUAACUAUUGGAAACGGUAGCUAAUACCGCAUAAUAUUGAUUAUUGCAUGAUAAUUGAUUGAAAGAUGCUAUUGCAUCACUACCAGAUGGACCUGCGUUGUAUUAGCUAGUAGGUGAGGUAACGGCUCACCUAGGCGACGAUACAUAGCCGACCUGAGAGGGUGAUCGGCCACACUGGGACUGAGACACGGCCCAGACUCCUACGGGAGGCAGCAGUAGGGAAUCUUCGGCAAUGGACGAAAGUCUGACCGAGCAACGCCGCGUGAGUGAAGAAGGUUUUCGGAUCGUAAAGCUCUGUUGUAAGAGAAGAACGGGUGUGAGAGUGGAAAGUUCACACUGUGACGGUAGCUUACCAGAAAGGGACGGCUAACUACGUG
rnacentral:rRNA from 1 species